rnacentral:rRNA from 1 species
UUUUAUAUUUUUUUUAUUUUAUUUUAGUUUAAUAAAGAUUAUUAUUGAAAAAACUUUAUUUAAAAUUUUCAUUUUUUUUUGUUUCAUAAUUUUAUCAAAGUUAAUUUUUAGAGAGAUUCAGGAAGGUUUUUUUAUUUUUUUAUAAUUUUUCAUAUUAAAGAAUAUUUUUAUCUUUUUUUUUGUUUGAUUGUUUUUUUUUUUAUUUUAUUUAGUUUUUAUUAUUAGAAAAAAUUUAUUUUUUUUUAUAAUUGAUUUUAUUUUUUACACUUUAUUUUAUAAUUAUUUUUUAUUUAGUAUUUUUUAUUUUAUUUUAUUGUUUUUUUUUUACUUUAUAAAAAAAUUAUUAAUAACUAAUGUAGCUUGUUUAUUAAAAACAUAAGAUAUUGGUUUUUAUAAUAUUUGUCUAUUAUUUUUUAUUUAUUUAAAAAUUAAAAUUGUAGGUAUGUAAUUUGUAUUUUGAUGGGAUAAUAUGAUUAACAUAGAUUCUAUUUUAGUUUUUUUUUUUUAUAUUUAAGAAUUUAUUUUUUUAUUUUUUAGAAGAUAAGACCCUUAAAGUUUUAAUUCAUGGGAUUAAGAUUUAUUUAUUUAUAUUUUUUUUUAAAUAUUAUUUUUUUAUUACUUAAGGGCUAAAGGGAUAAGAAAAUUUUAUUUUUGAUUAUCACCUCGAUGUUGUAUAAUAAUUAAUUCUAUCUAUAGCAUAGAUAUUUUUUUUAAAUGUUCGUUAAUUUAAAUUAUUGUUUAUAUGAGUUUAGAACGUCGUAUGACAGUUCAGUUUCUAUCUAGUUAUUUUAUUAUUAGUACGAAAGGAAUAUAAUAAAGCGUUUUUUUUUUUUAUAAAUUAAA